UACAGAGGGUGCAAGCGUUAAUCGGAAUUACUGGGCGUAAAGCGUGCGUAGGCGGCCCGCACAAGUCUGCGGUGAAAACCCCCGGCUUAACCGGGGGCCGGCCGUGGAAACUGUCGGGCUGGAGGCUGGGAGAGGGCAGCGGAAUUCCCGGUGUAGCGGUGAAAUGCGUAGAGAUCGGGAGGAACACCGGCGGCGAAGGCGGCUGCCUGGACCAGUCCUGACGCUGAGGCGCGAAAGCUAGGGGAGCAAACAGG
rnacentral:rRNA from 1 species